UGAGGAAUAUUGGGCAAUGCCCGCAAGGGUGACCCAGCAACGCCGCGUGGAGGAUGAAUGUCGUAAGAUUGUAAACUCCUGUUAGAGGGGAAGAAUAGUACCGGUUGGACCGGUAUAUGACUGUACCCUCAGAGAAAGCCCCGGCUAACUACGUGCCAGCAGCCGCGGUAAUACGUAGGGGGCAAGCGUUGUCCGGAUUUACUGGGUGUAAAGGGCGCGCAGGCGGGAUAAAAAGUCAGUGGUGAAAUCCUACAGCUUAACUGUAGAACUGCCUUUGAUACUUUUAUUCUUGAGUUCGGGAGAGAGAGACGGAAUUCCAGGUGUAGUGGUGAAAAACGUAGAUAUCUGGAAGAACACCAGUUGCGAAGGCGGUCUCUUGGUCCGACACUGACGCUGAGGCGCGAAAGCGUGGGGAGCAAACA
rnacentral:rRNA from 1 species